AAGACAAGACUCAGACUCCUCUGAGCCUCCUGCCUAUAUGGUUCAGAAGUCCACAGCUUCCCUCUGUCAUUCUGCUAGAGCCUGCUAGCUCCUGUUUCCACCCCAUCCUGGCAGGCCCUACAGACUCAUCUUUUCCCCUCAGGUGUAUCCUGCUUGAGGGCCACUUAUUUUGAAAAUGGUGAGAGAUAAACUGCUGGAGUGGUCUGUUCAGCCUGGAGAAGAGGAGACUGAGGGGAGACCUCAUCGAACUCUACAAUUUCCUCUUGAGGGGAAGAAGAGGAGAGGCAGGCACUGAUCUCUUCUCUGUGUUAACCAGCAACAGAAC